GACGAACGCUGGCGGCAUGCCUAAUACAUGCAAGUCGAACGCUUUAAUUUCACCGGGUGCUUGCACCCAUCGAAGUUAAGGAGUGGCGGACGGGUGAGUAACACGUGGGCGACCUGCCCAUAAGAGGGGGAUAACAUUCGGAAACGGAUGCUAAUACCGCAUAUUUCUAAUCGUCUCCUGACGAAUGGAAGAAAGGUGGCUUCGGCUACCGCUUAUGGAUGGACCCGCGGCGUAUUAGCUAGUCGGUGAGGUAAUGGCUCACCAAGGCGACGAUGGGUAGCCGGCCUGAGAGGGUGAACGGCCACACUGGGACUGAGACACGGCCCAG
rnacentral:rRNA from 1 species